GCGAUACCCAGAGCGAACCCAUGUCAACUGUGGAUCUGGGUGAUAAUGAUGUGUCAAGCUCCGGUUCUUAAACUGACGAGGCAGAUCCAGGAAGGCUGUGUCCAUCCUUGUAUCCUACUGCACGCACCUGCUUGAGAAUGCAGCCGAUCCGAGCGGAGCAGUCCCCGCUGAUGGAAAGAGACAGCCAGGUCUUGGGCCUGGACCCCCGGGGCUCACGUCAGGCAAGCGUCUGCACGUUUUGGUUAUGAGAGCAGAUACAUUUCUCUUUAAAAAUUGA